ACUCUUAUAGUUUAUUUAUAAAAAUAUAACUCUGAAGAAGUUAAGAAGUUAAGGGUA
rnacentral:tRNA from 1 species